rnacentral:rRNA from 1 species
AAGGUGAAUGCUGGCGGUAUGGAUAAGGCAUGCAAGUCACGGGGGCCGUAAAGCAACCGGCAGACGAGGUAGUAACACGUAGGAAGAUACCCCGAAGUCUGGUAUAGCUCGCCGAAAGGCGGGGUAAUCCCGGAUAGUCUCACGGAUUAAUUUCCUUGAGUAAAGCUCCGGCGCUUCGGGAGUCGCCUGCGUAAUAUCAGCUAGUUGGUAAGGUAAUGGCUUACCAAGGCUACGACGUUUAGGGGAGCUGAGAGGCUGACCCCCACCGAUGAGACUGAGAACGGCUCAUACCCCUACGGGGGGGCCGCAGCCGAGAAUAUUCGACAAUGGGCGAAAGCCUGAUCGAGCGAUACCGCGUGGUGGAUGAAGUGCUUCGGCACGUAAACACCUUUUAUGAGGGAGGAAGUAAUUGACGUUACCUCAUGAAUAAGGGGCUCCUAACUCUGCGCCAGCAGCCGC